CUUUGGAAAUACCAAGCCAUUGUGGCCUGUCUCUGCACAGGAAGAGGAUGGAGCAUCUGAAGAAUGUUCACUUUUCUUCUGGCUUGAUGAUUGAGUAGUCAGAACCCCAGAACCAUGCAGAGGAACCUUUGAACUACUACAUACAGAAUUGUACUGUUUUGAUGAAUGUGCAUCCCUAACAAAAUCUUCCUGUGAGGAGAACUCUUCAAUCUCAUCAUCACCAUUAUCAAAAAAAA
rnacentral:misc_RNA from 1 species